rnacentral:rRNA from 1 species
AGUCACUGACAUUAGAUACCCGCGUAGUCCCAGCCGUAAACUAUGCGCGUUAGGUGUACUGGUGACCACGAGUCACCGAGGUGCCGAAGGGAAACCGUGGAACGUGCCGCCUGGGAAGUACGGUCGCAUGGCUGAAACUUAAAGGAAUUGGCGGGGGAGCACCACAACGGGUGGAGCUUGCGGUUUAAUUGGAUUCAACGCCGGAAAUCUUACCGGGACCGACAGCAACAUGAAGGCCAGGCUGAAGACUUUGCCGGAUUAGCUG